GUCCUAGCUUCGGCUGGACAUAUACUAAAAUUGGAACGAUACAGAGAAGAUUAUAGCAUGGCCCCUGCGCAAGGACGA
rfam:Anopheles merus strain MAF unplaced genomic scaffold supercont2.32, whole genome shotgun sequence.